AUUGAACGCUGGCGGCAAGCCUAACACAUGCAAGUCGAACGAGUGGAGGACGGGUGAGUAAUGGCUGGGAAACUGCCUGAUAGAGGGGGAUAACUACUGGAAACGGUAGCUAAUAGCGCAUACCAUCGGAUGUUCCCAGAUGGGAUUAGCUAGUAGGUGGGGUAAAGGCGCACCUAGGCGCGCAUCACUAGCUGGUCUGAGAGGAUGACACGCCACACGGGAACUGAGACACUGUCCAGACUCAUACGGGAGGCAGCAGUGGGGAAUAUUGCACAAGGGGCGAAAGCCUGAUGCAGCCAGGCCGCGUGUAUGAAGAAGGCCGUCGGGUUGUAGAGGACUUUCAGCGGGGAGGAGUUACCCGCAGAAGAAGCACCGGCUAACUACGUGCCAGCAGCCGCGGUAAUAC
rnacentral:rRNA from 1 species